rnacentral:rRNA from 1 species
AAUGAACGCUGGCGGCAUGCCUAACACAUGCAAGUCGAACGAAGGCUUCGGCCUUAGUGGCGUACGGGUGCGUAACGCGUGGGAAUCUGCCCCUUGGUUCGGAAUAACAGUUAGAAAUGACUGCUAAUACCGGAUGAUGACGUAAGUCCAAAGAUUUAUCGCCGAGGGAUGAGCCCGCGUAGGAUUAGCUAGUUGGUGUGGUAAGAGCGCACCAAGGCGACGAUCCUUAGCUGGUCUGAGAGGAUGAUCAGCCACACUGGGACUGAGACACGGCUCAGACUCCUACGGGAAGCAGCAGUGGGGAAUAUUGGACAAUGGGCGAAAGCCUGAUCCAGCAAUGCCGCGUGAGUGAUGAAGGCCUUAGGGUUGUAAAGCUCUUUUACCCGGGAUGAUAAUGACAGUACCGGGAGAAUAAGCUCCGGCUAACUCCGUG